GAAAUUAAAAAUUACCCUUAAAUUUCUACACAUUAAAGAUCUAAUCAUAUUAAAUACAUUAAAGUCUAAAUUACUGAAAAUUUUAAUGGAUCAAAUUUAAUUGGACUUAAUCUUAUAAGAUAGCCGCAACACAUAAUUAUUCACAUAUAAGCCCAAAGUUGGACUAAAGAUCUAAUGAAAAUCUUAUUUUGUUGAUUUUGUAGUAAAGUGAAAGGAGAGUGGAAAUUAAUUUAAGUUGUUGCUUUAUUUACUCUCAUUUAAGAAACAAAACUUUUGCAUAUUUUAAUAUAACUAUUUUCUUUUUAUUUGAAUCGAUUUAAUGGAUUAUGUGGGGCAAUAAAUAAUUACUUGACCACUUCAGCUCAUUUAAAUUUCUGAGGGCCAAAAACUCUAUGGGCAAACAUGGGCACGGUAGCAUGAGUAUUCUAAUUUUUUUUAAAGUUCUUUAGUGCGUUAUCUAGAGACUCAGGCUCUUCAUAAGCAUUUUGAUGAUGAGGAAAUGAUAGAGAAGCAUCGAUGUGUUUUGUUGACAUAGGAAACAACAGAGAAGUUAUGGAUAUUUUUUUUUUUCAAGCAAGGAAAUGGUAAAGAAGAAUGGAAUGGUGAGUUCUACAAGGCCUUGUUCUUUGAAAGUGGGUAGUGAUAACUUUAUAGUUUCAUGACACAAUAAAAAGACAAAUUUCAACAAUUUUGGUGUUGAUGUCUUCAACUAGAAUUAUCACUUUCAACAACUGUUCAGUUAUUUUUCUCUCCUUCCCUUAUGUGCACAAAACAUGUUUAGAGAUAGGAUUUUUGGUUGGAGCAUGCAUGAUUGAAUCGAAUCCUCUGAUAAUACAUGAUAACUUAAGAUGCAUAAAAAGAUUGCCAGUUUGCUAUGUACUUGGAAUUUGCGUAAAGUGAUACCUAGUUGUAUUUGACAUAAUGUAUUUAUGAUUACCCAAUACGAAAGUUUAUUUUCAAAUGAAGUCACACUUUGAGAUGCAGAGUUGACUCUACCACUAGGCAAAUUAGAUGAUUGCUUAGAGCCUCACAUUUUAGCAAGAUACUAAUUUAUAAAAAAAAUUAACUACCUAAAAAAA
rnacentral:lncRNA from 1 species